rnacentral:tRNA from 1 species
GCAUUCGUGGUGUAGUGGUCAGCACGCUCGGCGCGUAUUCGAGAGGUCCGUGGUUCGAGUCCGGGCAAGAGCA